GUAGGUGGCAAGCGUUGUCCGGAAUUAUUGGGCGUAAAGCGCGCGCAGGCGGUCCUUUAAGUCUGAUGUGAAAGCCCACGGCUCAACCGUGGAGGGUCAUUGGAAACUGGGGGACUUGAGUACAGAAGAGGAAAGCGGAAUUCCAAGUGUAGCGGUGAAAUGCGUAGAGAUUUGGAGGAACACCAGUGGCGAAGGCGGCUUUCUGGUCUGUAACUGACGCUGAGGCGCGAAAGCGUGGGGAGCAAACAGGGAUUAGAUACCCCGGUAGCCCACGCCGUAAACGAUGAGUGCUAAGUGUUAGGGGGUUUCCCGCCCCCCUUAGUGCUGCAGCUAACGCAUUAAGCACUCCGCCUGGGGAGUACGGCCGCAAGGCUG
rnacentral:rRNA from 1 species